rnacentral:rRNA from 1 species
UUUUUCUUUUCAGGARGGAAAUUGGGGGAUGGAGGAGAAUAGAAWCCUGUUGGUUUUACCCAUAAACUUUGCGGCUUGGGAACGGGGGGGUUUUCURKUUGAUCCCCGGGCACCUUACGUAUUAUCAAAGUGUUUGGGUUCUGGGGGAGUAUGUCGCAAGGCUGAAACUAAAGAAAUGACGGAAGGCAACCCACAGUGGC